UACGUAGGGGGCUAGCGUUGUCCGGAAUCAUUGGGCGUAAAGCGCGCGUAGGCGGCCGGUAAGUCCGCUGUAAAGUCCAGGGCUCAACCCUGGGAUGCCGGUGGAUACUGUCGGGCUCGAGUCCGGAAGAGGAGUGUGGAAUUCCUGGUGUAGCGGUGAAAUGCGCAGAUAUCAGGAGGAACACCAAUGGCGAAGGCAGCACUCUGGGACGUGACUGACGCUGAGACGCGAAGCGUGGGAGCAAACAGG
rnacentral:rRNA from 1 species